CCUACGGGAGGCAGCAGUGGGGAAUAUUGCACAAUGGGGGAAACCCUGAUGCAGCGACGCCGCGUGAGUGAAGAAGUAAUUCGGUAUGUAAAGCUCUAUCAGCAGGGAAGAAAAUGACGGUACCUGAGUAAGAAGCCCCGGCUAACUACGUGCCAGCAGCCGCGGUAAUACGUAGGGGGCAAGCGUUAUCCGGAUUUACUGGGUGUAAAGGGAGCGUAGACGGCAGAGCAAGUCUGGAGUGAAAGGCGGGGGCUCAACCCCCGGACUGCUCUGGAAACUGUACGGCUGGAGUGCAGGAGAGGUAAGUGGAAUUCCUAGUGUAGCGGUGAAAUGCGUAGAUAUUAGGAGGAACACCAGUGGCGAAGGCGGCUUACUGGACGGUAACUGACGUUGAGGCUCGAAAGCGUGGGGAGCAAACAGGAUUAGAUACCCGUGUAGUC
rnacentral:rRNA from 1 species